ACCUAAAGAUCUGUGUAUUCCCUUAUUUGCUACUUCUUCUUUCAUCAUCAAUUUCUCCUUUAGGUUUGAAAUUUGUGGGAGAAAUUUCUUGAUUAUUUUCUUUUUUUUUCAAGAAAGCAAUUUAUCGUUAAUACUGCCACUGAUGGUGUUAAAUCAAACGAUUUAUCAUUGAAAUUUGUGGGAGAAAUUUCUUGACUUUUCUUUCUUCCAUUAUCAAGAAAAUGAUUUAUCGUUGAUGCCACCAACACCAUCAAUGGAGGAAAUUAAUUCAGCUCCCGAUGUUGUCAUUGAUGGUGUUAAAUCAAAGAAAAAAUGGGUUCUGCUUCUUUAAAAGGAAUGGUUGGUCCUUCAAAACGCAAAGUUGUUGAAAAAAUCAAAAGAGACAUACUCCAAAAGGGUACACAUUAUAUUGUCAAAGAAGUUCCACCACAUUCAUUACAGUUUGACAGUUCUUUCAACGCUAAAAUUCUAAAAGAUUUUAAAGAAAUUCUGAAAGAUGAGGGGUGGAGUUGUUUGGUCAUACGAGUGGGUGAUAUUCUUUUGAAUUUUAAAACAAAGGAGAAGAAUGUUCCAACUUUAUUUUUUAAAUAUCAAUAUUAUAACUAAAUACGAUAUUCUGGAGAUUUUGACAGUAUUUUUGAAGUUAUGAAGCUUGAUUUCCUCAUCAAUUUUUGUUAUUUUCCUUUUUAGCGCUCCAUAAUUGUUUCAAUGGAUAUAUCAAAUAAGAUGUAUCUCUUGUUAAUAGAUGUAUUAAAAAAAUAGAAAUUUAAAAUUUUAUUAAAUGCUGGGAUAAAAUGUAAUUAGAGGCAAACAUAUAGGAAUUUAUGUAAGAUACUCUUUAUUUUAUCCCUAGUAAAGGGAGG